CCUGCGACAUCUGUUGACAGACGGGGAAAACUAGUUUUACGGUUGCCUGUUCCGCCGAAGGACGGUCAAUAGAAGUCCCAUUCCAAGCGUCACUUUAGUGCUUUCAACUGCCAUUGAACAGCUUUAAGCAUCGUCGUAACACUUAUCACAGGUGAUUCCCUGUGCUGGUCGCCAGUGACUGCUGCCCGUAGUUCCAAGAAAUCAUGAGUAACGCAACGAAGGAGAGCCAAGAUCCAAUUAUUAAAAAAUUAAUAGCAGAAGUAGAAAAACGGAAGGUACUGUGGAGAAAAGAACUUGGUGACGAUUCUGAAAAAAAAAAAGCUUGGAGAGAAGUUGCAGCGGAAAUCAGGAAAGAUUUCGUAAGCUGUAAGUGGUACGCAUCUCACUGCAAGGCAGCAUGGAACAAGGUGGUAAAGGAUCCAGGCAGUUAUCAGUUAUCUGAUGACCGUAGAGCUGCUUUGGAGAUGUCCAGUGGUCAUAAACGUAAAUAUCGAGGAAAGUCAAGCACAGAAAACGCUCGGCGUGCUAGCCAACAUAAUUCUCCCAUAGCAGAAGGAAAGGUGACAAAAUUUUUGUCUCUUUUGCACCCUAUUCUCACUAAUAUGUCUGUUCGUGAAUUCUCUAAAUUUGAAUCGCAAUGUUUAAUACUUCUUGGUAAGGUAAAAGCCCCUGAAGCGGGAUCUUCCUCCAGGAAAUCUUCUCCCGUGAAGUCUCGUCCAAAGAAAUGAUCUCCCAAGAUCCAUGUGGAUGUUACUUUGAUAGGAAGCACCAAUGAAGUGUGAUAACAAUUAUGCAACGUACAUAUGUGUAAGCUUUUUUCUCUUCUGAUUUAUGUAAACUUCUCAAAUUAUUAUUGAAUAAAAAUGGAUUUUCACUCGAUAAA